AUUGAUUCAGUAGUAACACAGUAGUCAGUCCACAGCCUGCCUGCCUGCAGAGAGAGAGCCAAAACAGGAAGAGAGAAAGAGAGGACAUAAGGAGAGAGGAAAAGAGAGUGAUUGUGAGAGAAGCAGGGAAAGCGUCCAGCCAUCUGUCUGUCUCCAGUCUGAAAGCCACAGCCGCCCUCUUUGUUUGGCGUCCCUGAUAUGACCCUGUUUAAAAGUGAGCACCACCGCAGCCCACGAUACAUUAGCAUGAGUGGAGAGCUGAAGUCCAGCCGUUCCAGGACCGGCAGCAAGAGACCCAGCAGCAAUCCAUACGGAUCUGACUAUGACCUGGACUAUGAGUGCUAUCAGGAGGACCUCUAUGACAGG